GCCGCUGAUGACGUUUAUGGUAUCAAAUGAAAUGCAGGUUCUAAUAUUUGCAUAUAUGUUUAUAAUUUUUUGAACUAGGACGGUCUGAGGC